CCCUUAGAUGUUCCGGGCCGCACGCGCGCUACACUGAUGCAUUCAACGAGCCUAUCCUUGACCGACAGGUCCGGGUAAUCUUUGAAUCUGCAUCGUGACGGGGAUAGAUUAUUGCAAUUAUUAAUCUUCAACGAGGAAUGCCUAGUAGGCGCAAGUCAUCAGCUUGCGUCGAUUACGUCCCUGCCCUUUGUACACACCGCCCGUCGCUCCUACCGAUUGGGUGUGCUGGUGAAAUGUUCGGAUCGGCCGUUUGUCGCGGUUUCCGCGUCAUGUGGCUGAGAAGUUCAUUAAACCCUCCCACCUAGAGGAAGGAGAAGUCGUAACA
rnacentral:rRNA from 1 species